UACGGGGGGGGCAAGCGUUGUUCGGAAUUACUGGGCGUAAAGGGCUCGUAGGCGGCCAACUAAGUCGGAUGUGAAAUCCCCAGGCUCAACCUGGGAACUGCAUCCGAUACUGGAUGGCUUGAAUUCGGGAGAGGGAUGCAGAACUCCAGGUGUAGCGGUGAAAUGCGUAGAUAUCUGGAGGAAUACCGGUGGCGAAGGCGGCAUCCUGGACCGACAUUGACGCUGAGGAGCGAAAGCUAGGGGAGCAAACGGG
rnacentral:rRNA from 1 species